UAUUAUAUUGUGUUUAUAUAAACCUGAACUUAUGAAUGAUUAUAGUACAUACAGAACACUUUACUUGGUAAAUAUUAGUUAAUGAUAUGGUAAUUUUUUUUUCAACAUCAGCAACGGUUAUAACAAUUAUUUUAUUAUAAAUUGUAUUAUAAUAGUUUAGUUUCUUUUAUAAGUCAAAUUAAAUUAAAAGAGUUUGUUUUGCAAACUGCCUAAUACUCUAGGGUAGGAAUUGUAAAAAGUAAUUAUUAUAUAAAUCAUUUCACCUUCUCUGUUCUGUUCGUAACCUAAAAACCGCCGCAACACCAUCCAUUGCCGUCACGAACCAAGUUUCGCUACUGACAUCGAACGACCGAAUGGGUGUAUUCGUUUAUGUCCUUUCACCUCUAUGUGACCCAGUUAUACGAGAGUUCCGCCAGCAUUGUACCGGUUCUCGUUAAGCAACCAAACUUGGUCACAAGUACGCCACCACCAAGAACUGUGCUAACUUUGAGCCGCUUUUGUCCGACUAUUUAAGAACUCCAAAUUGUUAUUUCUCACUCGCCCUGCUUGCCGUGUAAGGUUAUUUCCCAUCGUCGUUUGAAGUUGUCCUCAUAUUCUUUUAGCGCGCUUAGUUCUAUAAGGAGUCACAAGCGCAACCACUCAUAAUCUCGAGACUUCAUCAAUCCCGCUCGCGGUUUAGCAUUACCAUGCGCAAAACUGUUGACGAUAUAAUUAAAGAUGCAAGGAAUCUAGUAGGAUUGCCUAGAAAUACAUUUAAAACUUUAAUACUUGUUAUUUUGUAACUUACUUUCAAACUUGUUGUAUCGUGUUUCCAAAUAACGUACUAAAUUAUUAUCAAUGAAAUGAAAGUUUAUUAUUUGAA